rnacentral:rRNA from 1 species
UACGGAGGGUCCAAGCGUUAUCCGGAUUUAUUGGGUUUAAAGGGUACGUAGGCGGAAGAUUAAGUCAGUAGUGAAAGCCCAUCGCUCAACGAUGGAACUGCUAUUGAUACUGGUUUUCUUGAAUAUACUUGAAGUAGGCGGAAUACGACAUGUAGCGGUGAAAUGCAUAGAUAUGUCGUAGAACACCGAUUGCGAAGGCAGCUUACUAAGGUAUUAUUGACGCUAAUGUACGAAAGCGUGGG